AACGAACGCUGGCGGCAUGCCUAACACAUGCAAGUCGAACGAGACCUUCGGGUCUAGUGGCGCACGGGUGCGUAACGCGUGGGAACCUGCCCUUAGGUUCGGAAUAACUCCCCGAAAGGGGUGCUAAUACCGGAUAAUGUCUUCGGACCAAAGAUUUAUCGCCUUUGGAUGGGCCCGCGUUGGAUUAGCUAGUUGGUAGGGUAAAAGCCUACCAAGGCGACGAUCCAUAGCUGGUCUGAGAGGAUGAUCAGCCACACUGGGACUGAGACACGGCCCAGACUCCUACGGGAGGCAGCAGUGGGGAAUAUUGGACAAUGGGCGAAAGCCUGAUCCAGCAAUGCCGCGUGAGUGAUGAAGGCCUUAGGGUUGUAAAGCUCUUUUACCCGGGAUGAUAAUGACAGUAUCGGGAGAAUAAGCUCCGGCUAACUCCGUG
rnacentral:rRNA from 1 species